rnacentral:tRNA from 1 species
GAGAGAGUAGAAGCAAAAGGAGAAGCUGUCGCACUGUAAAUGCGAAGGGAAAGUCCGGUUGUAGGUUCGAGUCCUACCUCUCUCA